rnacentral:lncRNA from 1 species
UACGUCGGCGAGGUCGGCCAACCCUCGGCGGGGUCGCCCUCGAGCUCGCCUCCCCUUGCUGCGCCACUCUGGCUCGCCGCCCUCGUCGGUCGGGUGUGCGCCGGGGAGUCGUCGCCCCGGGGAGGGCAGAAGCGGGAGCUCCCCUCGUCCUCGCCCUCGGCCUCUGCGUCACCGUCGUCCCCGCUGCGGCUUGCCACUUUUGCGCCUCCGGGAUGGACACCGGCAGCCCGCGUCGACCUGCAACAGGUAUGGCUGUCAACCUCCUCCUCGAGACUUCUCGCGCUCUUUGGCUCGGGCCUCGUAUCAAUAGGUUGCACUCAAAUUUCUUGCCGUGCGAUAGAGAAACGUGGAACGAUCUCCCUCUCCCGAACGAGACCCUCCUUAUUGGGUCAGAUCUAUCCACAGUGCGUGCGGAACUGUAAGUCUGUAACUUAUCCUUCUUGGGUCGGAUCUAUCCACAGGCCCGUUUUGUUAAGCCCAUAGCAUUUGCAGG